rnacentral:snRNA from 1 species
AUACCUUUCUCGGCCUUUUGGCUAAGAUCAAGUGUAGUAUCUGUUCUUAUCAGUUUAAUAUCUGAUACGUGGGCCAUCGGUCCACUUGAUAUUAAUCUUAUUUUUUAUGGGGAAAGGUCCAUCACAAUAGCUUGCUAUUGGGGCCUUUGAGCGUCGCCUUGGUGUUGCACUACUGCCUUGGCCUGGCGCACCCCUC